rnacentral:rRNA from 1 species
CGCGGCCUAUCAGCUUGUUGGUGAGGUAAUGGCUUACCAAGGCUUGGACGGGUAGCUGGUCUGAGAGGACGAUCAGCCACACUGGGACUGAGACACGGCCCAGACUCCUACGGGAGGCAGCAGUAAGGAAUAUUGCGCAAUGGGCGAAAGCCUGACGCAGCAACGCCGCGUGCGGGAUGAAGGCCCUCGGGUUGUAAACCGCUUUCAGUAGGGAAGAAAAUGACGGUACCUACAGAAGAAGCCCCGGCCAACUACGUGCCAGCAGCCGCGGUAACACGUAGGGGGCGAGCGUUGUCCGGAUUUAUUGGGCGUAAAGAGCUCGUAGGCGGUUUCGUAAGUCGGAUGUGAAAACUCAGGGCUUAACCCUGAGCUUGCAGUGGGUACGGGCAGACUAGAGUGCGGUAGGGGAGACUGGAAUUCCUGGUGUAGCGGUGAAAUGCGCAGAUAUCAGGAGGAACACCGGUGGCGAAGGCGGGUCUCUGGGCCGUAACUGACGCUGAGGAGCGAAAGCAUGGGGAGCGAACAGGAUUAGAUACCCUGGUAGUCCAUGCCGUAAACGUUGGGCGCUAGGUGUGGGGCUCUUUCCACGAGUUCCGUGCCGCAGCUAACGCAUUAAGCGCCCCGCCUGGGGAGUACGG